UGAUGAGAAGAGACUUCUUUCAAAAACAUUAAAAAUAGUAAUGUUUCCAAACUUUUGACCUGUACUGUAUAUGUGUGUGUUUAUAUAUAUAUAUAUAUAUAUAUAUAUAUAUAUAUAUAUAUAUAUAUAUAUAUAUAUAUAUAUAUAUAUAUACACACUAUAUGCUACAGAAGUAGCAGUAUUUCAAACACUAUACUUGAUGCUGUACUUUUCACAGGUCUAGUCUGAUAUAGCAUGCUGCUCUUACUAAAUAGUAUGAGUAGUGUGAUACCAUGCAAUUCCAAAUGCAGACUAUCCCUGCGUCCCAAUGUGCUUACUAUCCACCACCCUAUCUGCUCUAAAUAGUAUUGAAACGGACUAAUAUCAUAUAUCAUAGAAUUUAGGAUGAAUAAUAUGAAUUGGGACACAGGCUCAGUGUCAAAGCAUUGAGUGAACAUAAAUGUGUUGCUCCAGCAGAUGGAAGCAAAGGGAAACUGUCACUGAAAAAGACUUUUACCAGACCAACACACACUCCUAGUGCCUUAAAAUCUGCUGAACACUAGAGUUAUGGAGAUUUAAAACACACUCACACACACAUUUAAUCAAAAGACUUGACUCCAAAGGGCUGUUAGCACUACAUUAUGAAACCUUGUGAAGCAGUGUUUGGAUAAGAAGUUGAAAUAAAGACCUUGACCAUUGUAACAUCUCAUAAGUGCACAGAUGUGAUUGGUUGAUUCAUCUUUCAGGGCACCUGAUGGGCUGAGAUUGGACGAGUGAACAGAGAGGGAGGGUAGUACAAUACAGUACAGUAACUGUGUGCAACAGACUGCUGUCUUGUUCCAGUAAAACACUUUUGUCAUUUUAGCCUCUCAGUGACUCUGUAAAAGAGCUUUUGACAGCAAACAGAGAGUCUAUAUUGUGUUCAGGUUUGAAAUUGUGUUGGAUUUAGAGGUACUUUCAGGGUACAGGGUUCAAAAUAGUACCCUCAAACUCAAAAAUAAUAAUCUACUUCAGGGGGUCAAACGAAAUAUGAGUAUUCAUUUUAUAUGAGUUUUGCAAUUUUGUAACCUGUAACCAAAAUUAAGGACUGUGUAAAUACAUUUUAAAAACUUUAUUUGUGUGAUUUUAUUUUCUAGUAAUAAACAUAUACAUUAAAAAUAAUAAAAAUGUAAAUUUAAAUAAAAAUACUUACACUAGAAUAAGUUA
ensembl:lncRNA